AACGAACGCUGGCGGCAUGCCUAACACAUGCAAGUCGAACGAACCCUUCGGGGUUAGUGGCGCACGGGUGCGUAACGCGUGGGAAUCUGCCCUUUGCUUCGGAAUAACUCAGGGAAACUUGUGCUAAUACCGGAUGAUGUCUUCGGACCAAAGAUUUAUCGGCAAGGGAUGAGCCCGCGUAGGAUUAGGUAGUUGGUGGGGUAAAGGCCUACCAAGCCGACGAUCCUUAGCUGGUCUGAGAGGAUGAUCAGCCACACUGGGACUGAGACACGGCCCAGACUCCUACGGGAGGCAGCAGUGGGGAAUAUUGGACAAGGGGCGCAAGCCUGAUCCAGCAAUGCCGCGUGAGUGAUGAAGGCCCUCGGGUCGUAAAGCUCUUUUACCAGGGAUGAUAAUGACAGUACCUGGAGAAUAAGCGCCGGCUAACUCCGUG
rnacentral:rRNA from 1 species